rnacentral:rRNA from 1 species
UUGACCUCGAAUCAGGUAGGAAUACCCGCUGAACUUAAGCAUAUCAAUAAGCGGAGGAAAAGAAACCAACAGGGAUUGCCCUAGUAACGGCGAGUGAAGCGGCAACAGCUCAAAUUUGAAAUCUGGCUCUCGGGCCCGAGUUGUAAUUUGUAGAGGAUGCUUUUGGUGCGGUGCCUUCCGAGUUCCCUGGAACGGGACGCCAUAGAGGGUGAGAGCCCCGUCUGGUUGGAUGCCAAUCCUCUGUAAAGCUCCUUCGACGAGUCGAGUAGUUUGGGAAUGCUGCUCUAAAUGGGAGGUAUAUGUCUUCUAAAGCUAAAUACCGGCCAGAGACCGAUAGCGCACAAGUAGAGUGAUCGAAAGAUGAAAAGAACUUUGAAAAGAGAGUUAAAAAGUACGUGAAAUUGUUGAAAGGGAAGCGCUUGUGACCAGACUUGGGCUUGGUUGAUCAUCCAGGGUUCUCCCUGGUGCACUCUUCCGGCUCAGGCCAGCAUCAGUUUGCCUCGGGGGAUAAAGGCUUCGGGAAUGUGGCUCUCUCCGGGGAGUGUUAUAGCCCGCUGCGUAAUACCCUGUGGCGGACUGAGGUUCGCGCAUUCGCAAGGAUGCUGGCGUAAUGGUCAUCAGUGACCCGUCUUGAAACACGGACCAAGGAGUCGUCUUCGUAUGCGAGUGUUCGGGUGUCAAACCCCUACGCGAAAUGAAAGUGAACGCAGGUGAGAGCUUCGGCGCAUCAUCGACCGAUCCUGAUGUUCUCGGAUGGAUUUGAGUAAGAGCAUACGGAGCCGGACCCGAAAGAAGGUGAACUAUGCCUGUGUAGGGUGAAGCCAGAGGAAACUCUGGUGGAGGCUCGCAGCGGUUCUGACGUGCAAAUCGAUCGUCAAACAUGGGCAUGGGGGCGAAAGACUAAUCGAACCUUCUAGUAGCUGGUUUCCGCCGAAGUUUCCCUCAGGAUAGCAGUGUUGAACUCAGUUUUAUGAGGUAAAGCGAAUGAUUAGGGACUCGGGGGCGCUAUUUAGCCUUCAUCCAUUCUCAAACUUUAAAUAUGUAAGAAGCCCUUGUUGCUUAAUUGAACGUGGGCAUUCGAAUGAAUCAACACUAGUGGGCCAUUUUUGGUAAGCAGAACUGGCGAUGCGGGAUGAACCGAACGCGAGGUUAAGGUGCCAGAGUAGACGCUCAUCAGACACCACA